rnacentral:rRNA from 1 species
GCAUUUUGCUGUAGUUGAAAGCUCGUAGUCAAGCUUUUGACCCAUCUGGCUGGUCUCGCCGCAAGGUGAGCACUGGUUCAGUGUGGUCUUUUUUUCUGCGGACCCAUGGUGCUCUUAACUGGGCGCUGUGGUGAAGUAGGACUUUUACUUUGAAGAAAUUAGAGUGUUCAAAGCAGGCUUCGGCUUGAAUAGGUUAGCAUGGAAUAAUAGAAUAGGACCUCGGUUCUAUUUUGUUGGUUUCUAGAACCCUGGUAAUGAUGAAUAGAGACAGUUGGGGGCAUUAGUAUUUGAUCGCUAGAGGUGAAAUUCUUGGAUUGAGCAAAGACUGACUUCUGCGAAAGCAUUUGCCAAAGAUGUUUUCAUUGAUCAAGAACGAAAGUAAGGGGAUCGAAGACGAUUAGAUACCGUCGUAGUCUUUACCAUAAACUAUGCCAACUAGGGAUCGGAGGGCGUUAUAAUGACCCCUUCGGCA